rnacentral:lncRNA from 1 species
CUGUUGAACCAGGACUUUUGCUCUUUGCUGUAGUGAAUCUGAAUAGGAGAUUGCCAUUUGAUGCUGUACAACUUCCAGUUCCUUUCUGCUACUUUCAAUCUUUUGAGAAACAUUCUUAAAUUCUCUUACAUUAAGAGAUUUUAAGGCUGGUUUGAGGGAUUUAAGAUUGUUCCACACUCCUUGAAGAGUACUCUGCUCCUUGUUUUUCCAGUAAGUUCUUAUCAUAACAGGAAAUUCC